CCUACGGGAGGCAGCAGUGAGGAAUAUUGGUCAAUGGGAGGAAUCCUGAACCAGCCAUGCCGCGUGCAGGACGACGGCUCUACGAGUUGUAAACUGCUUUUGUACCGGGGUAAAAUGCCUUACGUGUAGGGUUUUGAAAGUACGGUACGAUUAAGGAUCGGUUAACCCCGUGCCAGCAGCCGCGGUAAUACGGAGGAGCCGAGCGUUACCCGGAUUCAUGGGGUUUAAGGGGUGCGUAGGUUGUUGUAUAAGUUAGCGGUGAAAUACCGAUGCUAAACAUCGGGGCUGCCGCUAAUACUGUAGGACUAGAGAGCGGAUGCAGCAGGCGGAAUGUGUGGUGUAGCGGUGAAAUGCAUAGAUAUUACACAGAACACCGAUUGCGAAGGCAGCUUGCUAGGCCGGAUCUGACGCUGAUGCACGAAAGCGUGGGGAUCGAACAGGAUUAGAUACCCUAGUAGUC
rnacentral:rRNA from 1 species